UGACCGGAACGUCGUAAAACUAGCAAUCGAAAGUGAGGCGACCACGUUAAAAGCGUA
rfam:Clostridium hiranonis DSM 13275 Scfld3 genomic scaffold, whole genome shotgun sequence.